rnacentral:rRNA from 1 species
UACGUAGGGGGCAAGCGUUGUCCGGAAUCAUUGGGCGUAAAGAGCGUGUAGGCGGCCCGGUAAGUCCGCUGUGAAAGUCCAGGGCUCAACCCUGGGAUGCCGGUGGAUACUGUCGGGCUCGAGUCCGGAAGAGGAGUGUGGAAUUCCAGGUGUAGCGGUGAAAUGCGUAGAUAUCUGGAGGAACACCUGCGGCGAAGGCGGGUAGCUGGGCCGACACUGACGCUGAGGCGCGAAAGCCAGGGGAGCGAACGGG